rnacentral:rRNA from 1 species
UACGUAGGGUGCAAGCGUUGUCCGGAAUUAUUGGGCGUAAAGAGCUCGUAGGCGGUCUGUUGCGUCGGCUGUGAAAACCCGAGGCUCAACCUCGGGCCUGCAGCCGAUACGGGCAGACUAGAGUUCGGCAGAGGAGACCGGAAUUCCUGGUGUAGCGGUGAAAUGCGCAGAUAUCAGGAGGAACACCGGUGGCGAAGGCGGGUCUCUGGGCCGAUACUGACGCUGAGGAGCGAAAGCGUGGGGAGCGAACAGG